AUUAUUAUUAUUGUUAUUAUUAUUAUUGUGCUUAUGAUGAUGAUUAUUAUUAUUAUUAUUAUUAUUAUUUUUAUUAUUAUUAUUAUUAUAAUAAUAAUAAUAAUAAUAAUAAUAAAAAUAAUAAUAAUAAUAAU
rnacentral:miRNA from 1 species